ensembl:snoRNA
GAGCGAUGAUGUGAAACGUCUGAACCUGAAUCGUGUCCAUUAAACACGUUUUCAUGAGGGUUUCUACACUUGAACUGAGCUCA